GUGGGGAAUAUUGGACAAUGGGCGCAAGCCUGAUCCAGCCAUGCCGCGUGAGUGAUGAAGGCCCUAGGGUUGUAAAGCUCUUUCGCCAGGGACGAUAAUGACGGUACCUGGAUAAGAAGCCCCGGCUAACUUCGUGCCAGCAGCCGCGGUAAUACGAAGGGGGCUAGCGUUGUUCGGAAUCACUGGGCGUAAAGCGCACGUAGGCGGAUCUGUAAGUCAGGGGUGAAAUCCCGAGGCUCAACCUCGGGACUGCCUUUGAUACUGGGGAUCUCGAGUCCGGGAGAGGUGAGUGGAACUGCGAGUGUAGAGGGGAAAUUCGUAGAUAUUCGCAAGAACACCAGUGGCGAAGGCGGCUCACUGGCCCGGUACUGACGCUGAGGUGCGAAAGCGUGGGGAGCAAACAGGAUUAGAAACCCGGGUAGUCC
rnacentral:rRNA from 1 species